UCAAAAACAUGUCUUUUUGAGAAUAAUUUAAAGUCUAAUCUGCCCACUGAUAAAAUUAUUAAAGGGCUGCAGUAUAUUGACUGUACAAAGGUAGCAUAAUCAUUAGUCUUUUAAUUGAAGACUUGUAUGAAAGAUUUGAUGAAAUAUAAACUGUCUCUAAUUUAUAUAUAAAAAUUAAUUUUUUAGUUAAAAAGCUAAAAUAUUAUUAAAAGACGAGAAGACCCUAUAAAGUUUUAUAAUUUAUUUAUUUAAUAUUAAAUAUAUAAUUAAAUAUAAUAAUUAAAUAAAUUAUUUUAUUGGGGUGAUAGAAAAAUUAAAAAAACUUUUUUUAAAAUAAAACAUAUAUAAAUGAUAAGAUGAUCCAUUAUUAAUGAUUAAAAGAAAAAAUUACUUUAGGGAUAACAGCGUAAUAUUUUUUUUUAGUACGAAUAAAAAAAAAAGUUUGCGACCUCGAUGUUGGAUUAAGAUAAAAUUUAAAUGCAAAAGUUUAAAAUUUUGAUCUGUUCGAUCAUUAAAAUCUUACAUGAUCUGAGCU
rnacentral:rRNA from 1 species